ensembl:lncRNA
GAUCAGGGUUUUGCUGUCAUUUCUCUCUGUGGCCCACAAAAAGAGAGAACUGCCAUGAAACGAUCACACCUGGUAGCACAGCAACCUCCUGAGGUACCCGUGAAGAGAUCCUGAUGUUGGGCCCAACAGAUGGCAGCCGUCAACGUGCAGAGCUCCAAAUAAAACACGUCCCCAUGCGGCUUUUGGUCCUCUGACGGAGAUCUUUCCCAGCGUGAUGCUGCCCCGAAACGUGGGAGCCAAGGGCACGUCGUUUCUGAGGUGUCAGGGCUAGGAAUGCUGCUGCAAAGCACACGAGUGCAGCACGUACACCUGGAAGGGGUUGUUCUGGUUCGAUGAGAAAUAGACAUUGCCCAAUACGUCUCAUCAAAGGGCUGGAUGAAAGGAAGAGGGGAUCAAACAGCGGCUGAAACCCCAAGCCGGCGGUGUGCCCCAAAGCCUGCAGCUGUCCCUCGUGCUGCCAGCCCACUGGGAAGGCAGCAAGGACGUGCAGGGUUUUGUUACGCAGCACCCCUGGGUGCCCCCGAGAGCCUUUGGAGAACACUUGGGGAAGUUUGGGAUGGAAGGAUCUUUUAUCAGGUCAAAUUUUGCUUUUGUGUGGUCUCCGUUUCACUGCGAGGACAUUUGAGAUGGGAACAAAGGCUCCGCAGCCUGACCUCUGCCUGUUGGCCCCUCAAGUAGCUCCUGGCCAAUUCCAAACAAACGUUACAGAUGGGGAGAGCUGUGAAAGGGAUUACAAGUUCAUAAACAAUGUAAAAACCUGUGCCUGGAUGGGGGAAGAGAAGGGUAGGUCAUUUCCUACCCUGUUUUGGCCAGCUGGCUCCGGCUACAGUAGGGACUGGAAAUCCAGGCUUGCUUAACUGUGCUGCUCACUGAGCUUCUAACUCGUUUUUUUUUUUUCCAGGUACAAUUUUAGGAGUGCCUUUAGUGAUCCAGAAGCAUGGUCCAGGGCAUUUUUUUCAUUUUGUUUGGAAAAGGUAGGCUUGAAAUUCCAACAGGGAGCCUUUGCAGGUAGGAGUUUUGUUUUCCCUGGAGGGAACAGGAAGAUUUGGUGGAUUCCUUGCAAGGGAUGAGCAGGGUAUUGCGUUGGGGUCAGGAAACACAACCAGCCUCAUCAGCAGGUUGGGCUGGAAGGGGAUGGAAGGACCACACUCACCUUCUCUUGCCCUUCACGUUGCUUUUGCAGAAGUGCUUGGAUGCUCUUGCUGUUGUGACUUUGCAGCUUGAGCUGCUGCUCCUUCAAAGCCUUUUCAAACCGAUGCGAAAAAGGCACUCCUACUGACAGUCACACUCUCCUUGAAAUGCCUCAUUUAUGGGUUUUCUUCCCAUAGACAGGGAUAUAAAUCAAAAGUGACAAGCAGAGUGCAUGAAACAGGCUACUGCAGCGCCUGUGUUGUAGGGAACCUCAUAAAGUCCUUAGCAGCAGCCAGGAGAUCCCAGGUUUGGCUGCGAGACCUCAGCCCAUAAAAGUUCCUGGGAGAGCUCGUGUGUUUUUUCCCCCCCUGAGUGAGAGGAAACCUUUUUCGUCUCAUUUGUUGCUUCUACCCAUGCCAAAGUCCCCUGUUCAAAUGUGUUUCUUUUCCUUCACACCCUUGGAUAUACUUUCCAUUGAUCGUCACCCAGCUCUGUGGCCUUUAGAUCCUGGAUCUCGGCAUUGCAAUAGCCUCCUUCCAGACGAAAA